rnacentral:rRNA from 1 species
GAUGAACGCUGACAGAAUGCUUAACACAUGCAAGUCGAUUCGAUUUACCUUCGGGUAUUGAGGAUGGCGGACGGGUGAGUAACGCGUAAGGAACUUGCCUCUUGGUCUGGGACAACUGUUGGAAACGACAGCUAAUACCGGAUAUUAUGAGAUUCUCGCAUGGGAAACUUAUGAAAGCUAUAUGCGCCAAGAGAGAGCCUUGCGUUCCAUUAGCUAGUUGGUGGGGUAACGGCCCACCAAGGCGACGAUGGAUAGCCGGCCUGAGAGGGUGAACGGCCACAAGGGGACUGAGACACGGCCCUUACUCCUACGGGAGGCAGCAGUGGGGAAUAUUGGACAAUGGGCCACAAGCCUGAUCCAGCAAUUCUGUGUGCACGAUGAAGGUCUUCGGAUUGUAAAGUGCUUUCNGUUGGGAAGAAGAAAGUGACGGUACCAACAGAAGAAGCGACGGCUAAAUACGUGCCAGCAGCCGCGGUAAUACGUAUGUCGCAAGCGUUAUCCGGAUUUAUUGGGCGUAAAGCGCGUCUAGGCGGAAAAAUAAGUCUGAUGUUAAAAUGCGGGGNUCAACUCCGUAUUGCGUUGGAAACUGUUUUUCUAGAGUACUGGAGAGGUGGGCGGAACUACAAGUGUAGAGGUGAAAUUCGUAGAUAUUUGUAGGAAUGNCGAUGGAGAAGUCAGCUCACUGGACAGAUACUGACGCUAAAGCGCGAAAGCNUGGGGAGCAAACAGGAUUAGAUACCCUGGUAGUCCACGCCG